CAGGGUCUCGUCCAGGCAGCUUGGAGAGCCAUAGGCAUGCGUCCAGUGACAGCUCACCUCAGGGCCUAAAGGGGCACAGCAUGCAGUUUCAGGCUCAGACCUGGGAGUUUUCACGGAUUUGGGUCCAGAUCCCUUCUCCUCACUGACCAGCUCUGGGCACCUGGGCGAGCCACCCAUCCUCCAAGUGUGGGUUCCUGCAGCUUCCGGAUGGGGACAGGGCCUGGAGUUCCGGUCCAUCGUGGUCAGAGGACACGGGUUCCUCUGACCCGGCCGGCUCCACCACAAACCCAAGAGCAGUGAGGACCGGAUGCCCGGCAGGGACACAGCACUCUGCCCCGCCCCGUGAUGCCAACACCCCAGGACACAGUACCCUCAGCCACCAGGAGUACCUGCCACCCAGGAUAGGCCUCUCCACCAGGAGGCAUCCA